GAAGCCUGUGGCCAUUUGGUUACUAGGCAAUGUGGUGUUUAGGUCGUUCCGCAGAGACACUGCUCCUCUCUAAGUCCAUCAAUGAGUACGGUUGUACUGACAUGGCCCACGGAGGGUGAAAGGCCCGUAAGAGAGGAGUUUUGGUGUGACAGUGUCUCUCUGGAUUGACCUUGGAGUCGGGUUGUUUGGGAAUGCAGCCCUAAGCGGGUGGUAAACUCCAUCCAAGGCUAAAUACAAGCACGAGUCCGAUAGCGAACAAGUACCGUGAGGGAAAGUUGAAAAGUACUUUGAAGAGAGAGUAAACAGUGCGUGAAACCGCUUAGAGGUAAACGGGUGGAGUUGAACUGCAAUCUUUGAGAAUUCAGCUGGGGAAUUUUGCUUGAGCUUGGUCAAUUGGGCAGGGCCUCGGGGUAUGCUUAGCUGCAUGUUCUGAUCUUCGGGUCGGAAUGCGCGUUGCUCUUAUCAAGGGCUGCGCGCCUCGGGUGUCCGGCUGGCUCAUUCGCCAGUGCACUUUCUCAGAGUGAUCACCACGACCGGCGCUGCUGCUUGGCUGUUUUAGUUAAACCGCACAUUCAUCGUCCUUGUGGCGUUGGGUGGACGACACGGCAGGUAACUGGGGGCUUGCUUCGGCUUGCUUCUCGGUGUAUGCUGGCUCUAACGGUUCUGUGCAGUGUGUCGGAGACGGCGGCUUGUGGUGUGUGCAUGCGUGCCUAUCUGUUGGCAUAUUCUGGUUUGGUGGCUGUGUGCUUGUUCAAGCAGGCCCAGUUAUAGCCGGGGUGUGUCAGUGGGUGGUUGCGUGUGUGUCACUUUUCAGGGCCUACAGUCUGUGGUGUUGUGGUAGACUAUCCACCUGACCCGUCUUGAAACACGGACCAAGGAGAGUAACAUGUGCGCGAGUCAUUGGGCGUAACGAAACCCACAGGCGCAGUGAAAGUAAAGGUCUGGCUUGUCCAGUCUAAGGUGAGAUCCUGUCGUUGUUCAUGCGUGGUACCACCAAGCUUGGAGCGAUAGGCGCAUCACCGGCCCGUCCCAUGACGUGGACAUAGUCUUCGGAUUGUGCGCCGUCGGGGCGGGGC
rnacentral:rRNA from 1 species